CCUACGGGAUGCAGCAGUGGGGAAUAUUGGACAAUGGGCGAAAGCCUGAUCCAGCAAUGCCGCGUGUGUGAAGAAGGUCUUCGGAUUGUAAAGCACUUUCGACGGGGACGAUGAUGACGGUACCCGUAGAAGAAGCCCCGGCUAACUUCGUGCCAGCAGCCGCGGUAAUACGAAGGGGGCUAGCGUUGCUCGGAAUGACUGGGCGUAAAGGGCGCGUAGGCGGUUUAUGCAGUCAGAUGUGAAAUCCCCGGGCUUAAUCUGGGACCUGCAUUUGAGACGCAUAGACUAGAGGUCGAGAGAGGGGUGUGGAAUUCCCGGUGUAGAGGUGAAGUGCGUAGAUAUUGGGAAGAACACCGGUGGCGAAGGCGGCAACCUGGCUCGAUACUGACGCUGAGGCGCGAAAGCGUGGGGAGCAAACAGGAUUAGAUACCCGGGUAGUC
rnacentral:rRNA from 1 species